rnacentral:rRNA from 1 species
UACGUAGGGUGCGAGCGUUAAUCGGAAUUACUGGGCGUAAAGCGUGCGCAGGCGGUUCGCUAAGACAGGUGUGAAAUCCCCGGGCUUAACCUGGGCAUGGCGCUUGUGACUGGCGGGCUGGAGUACGGCAGAGGGGGGUGGAAUUCCACGUGUAGCAGUGAAAUGCGUAGAGAUGUGGAGGAACACCAAUGGCGAAGGCAGCCCCCUGGGCCGCUACUGACGCUCAUGCACGAAAGCGUGGGGAGCAAACAGG